rnacentral:rRNA from 1 species
GACGAACGCUGGCGGCGUGCUUAACACAUGCGAGUCGAACGGAAAGGCCCUGCUUUUGUGGGGUGCUCGAGUGGCGAACGGGUGAGUAACACGUGAGUAACCUGCCCUUGACUUUGGGAUAACUUCAGGAAACUGGGGCUAAUACCGGAUAGGAGCUCCUGCUGCAUGGUGGGGGUUGGACAGUUUCGGCGGUUGGGGAUGGACUCGCGGCUUAUCAGCUUGUUGGUGGGGUAGUGGCUUACCAAGGCUUUGACGGGUAGCCGGCCUGAGAGGGUGACCGGCCACAUUGGGACUGAGAUACGGCCCAGACUCCUACGGGAGGCAGCAGUGGGGAAUAUUGAACAAUGGGCGGAAGCCUGAUGCAGCAACGCCGCGUGCGGGAUGACGGCCUUCGGGUUGUAAACCGCUUUCGCCUGUGACGAAGCGUGAGUGACGGUAAUGGGUAAAGAAGCACCGGCUAACUACGUG